rnacentral:lncRNA from 1 species
AAUAAUUUCACGUGGGAUAGAAAAAAAAAAAAAAUUUGAUUGGAAAUAUAAGAGAGAUCUCACAAGGCUUAAGUAUUUUGGGCCAAUAGUUUGGAUCCAAUAAGUUAUCAAUGGGUUGGGUUGUUUUAGUUGGUAUCAAAGUCGAAUAUCAGACCUGCCGGAAGUGUGAGAGCUAAAUGUUAUUAAUGUGGAAUAAAGUGUUAUCUCGCACCUUAGUAAUAAUAACUGAAUUUAAACAUUUUGAGCCUGUGGAUAGAAAUAAGGUAAAAUGCACAAAACUUAUUUAAACUAUGAGCCAUUUUGAGUCAGCUAUCCAAUCUUUCAAAAUCUUAAUUUUACUACACAACCUUUCAAUUUGUUUGAUUUAAACCCGUAAACGUCGCUUUAACCUCAAAAUUGAAUCACCAUUUAUCUUUACACAUUUAGCUAAUAUACUUCAUGCCAUUCUCGCAAAUAUAAUUUUAUUGAAAUAAACAAUCAGUUUCAAUUUUGAAGUCAAAAUGCCGUUAAUUGGCUGAAAUCAAACAAAUUUGAAAGGUUGCGUGAUAAAAUCAAAAAUUUUAAAAAUUGAAUAGUCGAUUCAAAAUAGUUCAUAGUUCAGAUAGAUUUUAUACGUUUUAACUAAGAAAUAAUUGAGAAUAACAAAUAAUUGCUUGUCGUAAACGAAUAUUAAGUUUUUCAUUGCAUAGCUGUUUCCUUGCCUUCGAAAAAUGCAAGGUUUAGAUAGAUAGAUAGAUAGAUAGAUAAUAGCGUAGUAACACAACAAGCCAAAUUCAAUGCAUUUUCGGACCAAUUAAUGGCAUGUUUAUUUGGAUAGAUGUGGGGUGGAAGCGGAGAGGGAAAAAGCCGUCUUCGUCGUAAAUGAUCACUUUUGUUGUUUGGUUCGUCGUAAAAAAGUUACGGUCGAAACUCGAGUUAACCUGAAACAUGGUACGAAGUCAAUUACAGUAAAGUUAGGUGAAGAAAAAAUAAUAAAAUAAUAUAUCAAGUAGAGAUAGUUAUAUUUCAAUAUAUUUAAUUAUGAUACUAAUUAUUUUUUUAUUCAGUUGGCAUGUUUAAGAUAUGAUAAAAAUUGAUUAGUUAAGUUUUAAUAUUUUUUUUAUUUAGUUUGUACAAUUAAAAUAUAAUAAAAAUUGAUUAAUUAAGUAUUAUUAUUUUUUUACUUUAUAAUUUUAUUAUUGUAUUACUAUAAUUUAUGUAUAAAAAAAUAAUUUAGUUGUUUAAAUUAAAUUUUAAUUAUAUAAAAAAUAUAAUUAUAUUAUUUUUAUUUAUUAAAUUAUUUAUUAUUUAUACAUAAAUUAUAAUUUUAUAUUAUACACUUCCUACCAAACAAAUAGCAGAGCUAAUAAAACUUCACUUUCAUAACUACGAAACAAACAACCGGAAAGAAGUAAUUUUUACUGCACUCCAUUUCAACCCAAAGUCCACUUAACCCAAAGUUCAGCUUCGGUAAAACAAAAAUGCCCUAAAAGUCCAAACAUUGACCGUUCCGAGUACAAAUGGCAAAAGACUUGAUGGUUGAUACCCGAGGUCCCAAGUUCAGAGUAUAGUUAUUUCACAUUUCCAGCUAAAUUUAUUUCUAAAAAAAUGUGCGAAGUGGUAGCUUACUACCAUUAUUUUUAAAAAGAAAAAA